rnacentral:lncRNA from 1 species
GAGGCCGGCGCGGGAGGCGCAGAUAAGUUCUCGGCGAGGAGCCGCGAUGCCGACUUUAGCAGAGCUGAUAGGCAGGGCUGAGGGCUCGCUUAGCGCUAAGGACUUAAAUUCGAUACGAUUUUUUAAAAAAAUGAAGACUAAUUAUUCAGGGAGAAGAGAGCGAAGAAGAAAUCUAUUCGUAACGCCUGGCGUAGGGUCUCGCAGAUGCUAUAGUACUAUUGGCAGACGGGGUUAGUUUGCCCGGUCGGAGCUGCAGGCACAGCACAGUGCAGCUUUGGUUCCUGGGCAGUCGUCUCAGGAGCCGGCAGAAGAGCUUGGCUAGGCCAGCUGUGGAAGUUAAGUUCCCAAGUCACCUGACUUCAAAUGCCUUCAGGGGAGGGGCAGAUUUUGGCAAUUAGGCAGGGGCCGGUUAAUGGUUGGGGGUGGGGUGGGGUUUAGGUAAUUGUUUAGUUUAUGAUUUCAGAUAACUCAUGCCAGAGCACUUAAAUACUUAGGAUGGAAAAACUAAAGAAAUAUCAACUUCCAAGUUGGAACUUCAGAGCGAGGAAGUGGCUUAAUGAUCCUGAAGGGAUUUCUGCUGAUGGUAGCUUUUAUAUUCUCAAACAGGUUUCUCUUGCUAUGAGGAGCUGCUGCAUGCCGCCCGGAGCAGAACAGCAGGCAGCUGUGAACAGUCUUUCAGAAACUUUGCGAACACUCUAAUGGACACGAUCAGGAAUUGAGCGGAAGAACGAAUUUAACUUAAGACCUUCAUUUCACGCUUCAUGGAGCUGUUCAGGAUUUGACUGGCAUAUGAGUGCUUGGCUCUGCGUUCUGUUCUUGUGAGUGGGAGACCUGCAGUGAGUUUAUGGGCACACUCAAACUCUUCCUGGAAUU